rnacentral:rRNA from 1 species
GGAGGAAAAGAAACUAACAAGGAUUCCCCCAGUAACGGCGAGUGAAGCGGAAGAGCUCAAGCUUAAAAUCUCCAUGUUUAUCAUGGCGAAUUGUAGUCUAUUGAGGCUGUUGUCAGCAUAGCGAUUUGGGAUAAGUCCCUUGGAAAAGGGCAGCAUAGAGGGUGAUACUCCCGUCUUUGCUCAGAUUGUCUAUGUGUACGAUACGCUUUCUUUGAGUCGAGUUGUUUGGGAAUACAGCUCAAAGUAGGUGGUAAAUUCCAUCUAAAGCUAAAUAUUGGUGCGAGACCGAUAGCGAACAAGUACCGUGAGGGAAAGAUGAAAAGAACUUUGAAAAGAGAGUUAAAGAGUACCUGAAACUGUUGAAAGGGAACCGUAACAUGUCCAGUGUUGUAUCUUGUGCAUAUUUCAUUAGUGGAGUAAUUUACUGGUGCCCUGUGCAUGAGUGUGACGUCAAAGUCAGUUUGUAUGCUGCGGGAGAUGGAUAAUAAGGAGGUGCGUCACUUUUGUGUCAGUUAUACCUUGUUAUCUAGUAGCCGUGGUUGAGACUGAGGUGCCUACAACAUGCUUUUAAAGUAUAUUGUUGUCUCGUUAUUAUAUCUGUUUGGAUAGCUUGCUAUGCUGGUGGACUAUAGUGGCGAUUGAUGAUAGUAUGAACUUUUUGCUGUUC